CGGUCCUAAGGUAGCGAAAUUCCUUGUCGGGUAAGUUCCGACCUGCACGAAUGGCGUAACGACUUCCCCGCUGUCUCUGAUGUGGACUCAGCGAAAUUGAACUGCCCGUGAAGAUGCGGGCUGCCCGCGGUUAGACGGAAAGACCCCAUGCACCUUUACUCUAGCUUCGCACUGGCACCAGGAUUGCGAUGUGCAGGAUAGGCGGUAGGCUUUGAAGCGGGGACGCUAGUCCUCGUGGAGCCGUCCUUGAGAUACCGCCCUUCGCUGUCUUGGUGUCUAACCGCGGCCCGUGAACCCGGGUCCGGAACCAUGCGUGGUGGGGAGUUUGACUGGGGCGGUCGCCUCCCAAAAUGUAACGGAGGCGCGCAAAGGUUCUCUCAGCCUGAUCGGAAACCAGGCGUAGAGUGCAAAGGCAUAAGAGAGCUUGACUGCGAGACUGACAGGUCAAGCAGGUGGGAAACCAGGCCUUAGUGAUCCGGUGGUUCCAAAUGGAAGGGCCAUCGCUCAACGGAUAAAAGGUACUCCGGGGAUAACAGGCUUAUCGCGCCCAAGAGUUCAUAUCGACGGCGCGGUUUGGCACCUCGAUGUCGGCUCAUCGCAUCCUGGGGCUGGAGAAGGUCCCAAGGGUAUGGCUGUUCGCCAUUUAAAGCGGUACGCGAGC
rnacentral:rRNA from 1 species